rnacentral:lncRNA from 1 species
GUUCCUUCCCAAGGUCGUGGUAGCACCGAGGGCACCGCGAGGGCCCGGCGUUCCCGGGAGGGGCCGUCACUGCCCAGAGAGGGGCCGUCACUGCCCAGGCAGCGGUCGCCCCUGACUUCCCGGGGCCGCGGAGGCGCGCGUGGCGGGGCUGGCUUGCCCCCGAGCGGCUCCGCAGCGAGCUUUCCCAGCCCGGUGUUUACUUGGCCCGAGCAGCGGCCGGACCUGCAAGCAGGAGCCUGCGCGCGGCGGGUGUCGCGUGUGCCGGGUGGGAGUGGCGUAGCCCGCGGUGACUGCGGGUUGGGGGGGCGCCACGCGUCCGGGCGCGGAGUUGGUACGCUCGGUUCGGCGUGCGCGCGGCCUCGGACUCCCGGCUCCGCGGGGCCCUUCCGGAGGCUCCCGCCCGACCCCCGAGCUUCCGACGGAGGCGCCGAGCGCCGCGCCGCGUCCCCAGGGGCCCCGUGCACGCGCAGAGCGCCUCUGCGGCCGAGCGCGGCGUGGCACUUGGCAGACGGUCCCUG